rnacentral:rRNA from 1 species
CGGGCGGACGGGUGAGUAACACGUGGGUAACCUACCUAUAAGACUGGGACAACUUCGGGAAACCGGAGCUAAUACCGGAUAAGAUAUCGAACCGCAUGGUUCGAUAGUGAAAGAUGGUUUUGCUAUCACUUAUAGAUGGACCCGCGCCGUAUUAGCUAGUUGGUGAGGUAACGGCUCACCAAGGCAACGAUACGUAGCCGACCUGAGAGGGUGAUCGGCCACACUGGAACUGAGACACGGUCCAGACUCCUACGGGAGGGCAGCAGAG